GACGAACGCUGGCGGCGUGCCUAAUACAUGCAAGUAGAACGCUGAAGGAGGAGCUUGCUUCUCCGGAUGAGUUGCGAACGGGUGAGUAACGCGUAGGUAACCUGCCUGGUAGCGGGGGAUAACUAUUGGAAACGAUAGCUAAUACCGCAUAAGAGUAGAUGUCGCAUGACAUUUGCUUAAAAGGUGCAACUGCACCACUACCAGAUGGACCUGCGUUGUAUUAGCUAGUUGGUGAGGUAACGGCUCACCAAGGCAACGAUACAUAGCCGACCUGAGAGGGGGAUCGGCCACACUGGGACUGAGACACGGCCCAGACUCCUACGGGAGGCAGCAGUAGGGAAUCUUCGGCAAUGGACGGAAGUCUGACCGAGCAACGCCGCGUGAGUGAAGAAGGUUUUCGGAUCGUAAAGCUCUGUUGUAAGAGAAGAACGAGUGUGGGAGUGGAAAGUUCACACUGUGACGGUAUCUUACCAGAAAGGGACGGCUAACUACGUG
rnacentral:rRNA from 1 species